UACGGAGGGAGCUAGCGUUGUUCGGAAUUACUGGGCGUAAAGCGCACGUAGGCGGCUUUGUAAGUCAGAGGUGAAAGCCUGGAGCUCAACUCCAGAAUUGCCUUUGAGACUGCAUCGCUUGAAUCCAGGAGAGGUGAGUGGAAUUCCGAGUGUAGAGGUGAAAUUCGUAGAUAUUCGGAAGAACACCAGUGGCGAAGGCGGCUCAC
rnacentral:rRNA from 1 species